UAGCUCAGUCAGUUAGAGCGUGGUGCUGGUAACACCAAGGUCGCGGGUUCGAUCCCUGU
rnacentral:tRNA from 1 species